GAGUUUGAUCUUGGCUCAGAGUGAACGCUGGCGGCAGGCCUAACACAUGCAAGUCGAACGGCAGCACAGCAGUAGCAAUACUGUGGGUGGCGAGUGGCGGACGGGUGAGGAAUGCAUCGGAAUCUGCCUAUUUGUGGGGGAUAACGUAGGGAAACUUACGCUAAUACCGCAUACGUCCUACGGGAGAAAGUGGGGGACCGCAAGGCCUCACGCAGAUAGAUGAGCCGAUGCCGGAUUAGCUAGUUGGCGGGGUAAAGGCCCACCAAGGCGACGAUCCGUAGCUGGUCUGAGAGGAUGAUCAGCCACACUGGAACUGAGACACGGUCCAGACUCCUACGGGAGGCAGCAGUGGGGAAUAUUGGACAAUGGGCGCAAGCCUGAUCCAGCCAUGCCGCGUGUGUGAAGAAGGCCUCGG
rnacentral:rRNA from 1 species